rnacentral:rRNA from 1 species
CCUACGGGAGGCAGCAGUGAGGAAUAUUGGUCAAUGGGCGUAAGCCUGAACCAGCCAAGUCGCGUGAGGGAUGAAGGUUCUAUGGAUCGUAAACCUCUUUUAUAAGGGAAUAAAGUGCGGGACGUGUCCCGUUUUGUAUGUACCUUAUGAAUAAGGAUCGGCUAACUCCGUGCCAGCAGCCGCGGUAAUACGGGGGAUCCAAGCGUUAUCCGGAUUUAUUGGGUUUAAAGGGUGUGUAGGCGGCGUUUUAAGUCAGCGGUGAAAGUCUGUGGCUCAACCAUAGAAUUGCCGUUGAAACUGGGAGGCUUGAGUGUGUGAGAGGCAGGUGGAAUGCGUGGUGUAGCGGUGAAAUGCGUAGAUAUCACGCAGAACCCCGAUGGCGAAGGCAGCCUGCCGGGCCAUGACUGACGCUGAUGCACGAAAGCGUGGGGAUCAAACAGGAUUAGAUACCCUGGUAGUC